UACGAAGGGGGCUAGCGUUGUUCGGAAUUACUGGGCGUAAAGCGCACGUAGGCGGGUUGUUAAGUCAGGGGUGAAAUCCUGGAGCUCAACUCCAGAACUGCCUUUGAUACUGGCAACCUAGAGACUGGAAGAGGUUAGUGGAAUUCCGGGUGGAGCGGUGAAAUGCGUAGAGAUCCGGAGGAACACCGACGGCGUAGGCAGCGCCCUGGCCGUUUCCUGACGCUGAUGCACGAAAGCUGGGGGAGCAAACAGG
rnacentral:rRNA from 1 species